UCUGGCAUGAUUGAAAGCUCCCUGGGCCUUCACCAGAAGCUGAGUAGAUGCCAGCACCAUACUGCCUCUCAAGUCCACAGAACUCUGAGCCAAUUAAACAUCUUUACAAAUUACCCAGUCUCAGAUUGAAAAUAAAUCCAUUCUCCCCUGGAUGACAUUUAGGCUGUUUCCACUUCACUGAUUAUUCUUACAUGUGAUUGAGGUAACCAAGCUUAUGUAUUACAGGAAAAGCAAGAAUAAAUACAGUGUACAUUUUUUCAGGUAUGGGUCUAAAUUACAACUGUCGAGGCAGAAAACUAAAAAAUAUUUUUGGGACCUAAACUUGAGACCUGACUAAAUGGACCUAAUAGCCAUCUACAGAACACUCCCCUAGACAACAUAGUAUACAUUCUUUUCAUUUGCACAUGGCACAUACUGUAAAAUCAAGCACAUGCUCAGUCAUAAAGCAAUUCUCAAUAAAAU
rnacentral:lncRNA from 1 species